GUCGUGACAAGUCGAGGACAUUCGAUAAAAUUGGAACGAUACAGAGAAGAUUAGCAUGGCCCCUGCGCAAGUAUGACGCACACAAAUCUGGCAAGAUCCCUAAGCAGU